rnacentral:sRNA from 7 species
UGUAUCUGAAGCCUGACGAGGAUGAGAACCUCCGGGGGCAAGAGGUUCGACUCGAGCGCAGCGAGAGAACGUUGCUUCAGCAACGGCCCGCAGGGCGAGCCAUCCUCUAUCACCGGCAG